CUAGCAUUAAUUGCUUUAAAAAAUAUUGUUGUCUAUGAGGGGUUGCCUUUGUUGCAGUCACUUUAUUCUGACUAUUUUACUGAAAAACUGAAUGAUAAUUCUAUCAUGCAACUACUUCUCCCAUUUCUUUUCCAUCAAUAUUGAGGAUGCUUUUCUUGGCAAACACCCACAAAACAUCAUCUCCCUGCGUUGUUCAGGUGUUUUCAGAUUUGAACUUAGAACAUCAUUUGAUUUCAAUAUUUCUUCUCAUCCUCCCCUUCUAAUUCUGUCUAUUCACCCUUUCAGGUCAUAAUAAUUCUUUUUUCACUUUCAAUUCUCCGGGCUGUCCAUUGCUGUACUUAUAAAACACCACCUUAGAAAAGUCCUUACAUUCAUUUCAAGCUGUGCCUAUACUGUCAAUCUUCUCUUUCCCAGUAAUUUGCUUCUCAACUCUACUUUGUGUCAACAUCUAAUUUAUUUUGUUCUCCCUACAUGCAAUUGCUAUUACUCUCUGUGGUCUUUCAGACAUGUCACUUGUCUGUUGUCACCCUAAAUCUCCCCUUCAACUGAAUUCUCAGACUGAAAGGUUCUUUCACAGCUAAUAUUUCUUCACAGAUCUAGAGAUAAUGAAAGGUACUCAAAGUGCCGUUUAUUGUUCAAUACGUAUUUGACAGAGGAGUUCAGAUGCUGCAUAACUGGCUGCUUUGUGUUGUGCCAAUAAUGGAAUAAAACCCUUCAAUCUCGCAGACCUUGGUGCUUUAUAAUUUACUACUUGGAGAAAAGCCUCACAAGGAACCAGGAUAUGUUAUGGCAACUCUUAUUACUUCAGGCACUUAAUAUCCUCCUGGGAGAAAGAACAUGCAAGUGGAAUUACGUGAUGUUCUGUAACUUCAGUGGGUUGCUACAGUUUCUUACAUUUGUAAACAAAAAUAAAAGUUGAGAGGACAGCCUAAA